rnacentral:rRNA from 1 species
GACGAACGCUGGCGGCGUGCUUAACACAUGCAAGUCAAACGGUAAGGCCCUUCGGGGUACACGAGUGGCGAACGGGUGAGUAACACGUGGGUGAUCUGCCCUGCACUUCGGGAUAAGCCUGGGAAACUGGGUCUAAUACCGGAUAGGACCCUGGGAUGCAUGUCCUGGGGUGGAAAGCUUUUGCGGUGUGGGAUGGGCCCGCGGCCUAUCAGCUUGUUGGUGGGGUGAUGGCCUACCAAGGCGACGACGGGUAGCCGGCCUGAGAGGGUGACCGGCAAAACUGGGACUGAGAUACGGCCCAGACUCCUACGGGAGGCAGCAGUGGGGAAUAUUGCCCAAUGGGCGCAAGCCUGAUGCAGCGACGCCGCGUGAGGGAUGACGGCCUUCGGGUUGUAAACCUCUUUCAGCACCGACGAAGCGCAAGUGACGGUAGGUGCAGAAGAAGGACCGGCCAACUACGUGCCAGCCGCCGCCGUAA